rnacentral:rRNA from 1 species
AGCGAACGCUGGCGGCAGGCCUAACACAUGCAAGUCGAACGGACCCUUCGGGGUUAGUGGCGGACGGGUGAGUAACACGUGGGAACGUGCCUUUAGGUUCGGAAUAGCUCCUGGAAACGGGUGGUAAUGCCGAAUGUGCCCUUCGGGGGAAAGAUUUAUCGCCUUUAGAGCGGCCCGCGUCUGAUUAGCUAGUUGGUGAGGUAACGGCUCACCAAGGCGACGAUCAGGAGCUGGUCUGAGAGGAUGACCAGCCACACUGGGACUGAGACACGGCCCAGACUCCUACGGGAGGCAGCAGUGUGGAAUCUUGCGCAAUGGGCGAAAGCCUGACGCAGCCAUGCCGCGUGAAUGAUGAAGGUCUUAGGAUUGUAAAAUUCUUUCACCGGUGACGAUAAUGACGGUACCCGGAGAAGAAGCCCCGGCUAACUUCGUGCCAGCCGCCGCCGUAA